AUAAUGGGUCAGCGACUUAUAUUCUGUAGCAAGGUUAACCGAAUAGGGGAGCCGAAGGGAAACCGAGUCUUAACUGGGCGUUAAGUUGCAGGGUAUAGACCCGAAACCCGGUGAUCUAGCCAUGGGCAGGUUGAAGGUUGGGUAACACUAACUGGAGGACCGAACCGACUAAUGUUGAAAAAUUAGCGGAUGACUUGUGGCUGGGGGUGAAAGGCCAAUCAAACCGGGAGAUAGCUGGUUCUCCCCGAAAGCUAUUUAGGUAGCGCCUCGUGAAUUCAUCUCCGGGGGUAGAGCACUGUUUCGGCAAGGGGGUCAUCCCGACUUACCAACCCGAUGCAAACUGCGAAUACCGGAGAAUGUUAUCACGGGAGACACACGGCGGGUGCUAACGUCCGUCGUGAAGAGGGAAACAACCCAGACCGCCAGCUAAGGUCCCAAAGUCAUGGUUAAGUGGGAAACGAUGUGGGAAGGCCCAGACAGCCAGGAUGUUGGCUUAGAAGCAGCCAUCAUUUAAAGAAAGCGU
rnacentral:rRNA from 1 species